UGAGCCUAUGAAUCAGGCUAGACUCCAGUCAUUAAGUGGCCUUGACUCUUGCUGGUCAACACACACCUUUCACUGCAGGUGGCUCUGCAUCCAGUAAGGCUGCUGCAUACUUCUGUAGUUGGAUUUCAAUCAUACGAAAAGAGGAAUCCCAGAGAGGAAAGAUCAAAGAAGGCCCUCCCCCUGUACAGCUCCCCCAAGCUUCUGCCAUUUCUGCGACCACAAGGAGUCGGGAGAAGACCCAAGCUGGGGUCGCAGCAGUGACCCACCUACACAGGAGAGAAGACAAAGCAAGACAGCCUCUAUUUCUUCACCACGGCGACACCAUUCUUAUGUGUUCUGCCUGUGUUAAGGACAAAAGCUGCUGUUCGCAAGAGAAAAAAAGAUAAAAACUGGGGCUGGCCGGUGGCAUAGUGGCAUUUCCUUCCCAUGACAUGGCCUCUACUCUGGGGAAAAGGAUCUAUGAUUUCCAAAGCAAUUUUAUUUUUGGCUUCUGGUGCUGCAGCUGACACGUGAGAGUGGUAUUAGACGGGGGACCACACUUGUUCACCAGGAUGGAGCCUCCUGUUUCAUUUCACACCCCCUUCACACAGCCUCCUGCAACUGCUGAUUGUAUCUGGCCGGUACCCACAGGGCUGGAUUCUGGCCAAAGGGAGGAGACGCCCAGCACCAAGACCCGGAGGCAUCCUUUACUAUCCCUUCCUCAAACCCAGAGCCACGCCAUUCCCAUGUCAUAAAACUUCUGAAGCGGGCACUGAAGCCAAGGGGGGCGGCGCUGACUCAAGCCGGGCCCUCGCCCUCCCCGGCUCCUCAGCCACAGGCUGGGCCAACAUCUCAAAGCUGCUCAAGAUGGUCCCAAGAGCGGCGAAGGCCUCCCAGGGCUCCACCAGGUGCCAGGCCAGAGGAAAGCGGGACAGGGGCGGGGGCCAAGGGCUGGAGACCCCACGGUGUUUCAUGGCACAGCGACACCAGCUCAGAGGCAGAUGGCCGUGGAGGCUGUUGGAGGAGCAGCCUGUGACAGAGAGAGGGUGCGGGCUCUGUGAGUCACGCCGGCAGGUGUGUUAUUAUCGAAGUGAUGUAGGGGUUUGGAAUGUGACUUAGAAGGCAGUAAGGAGACAUUAUCCAUAAACACAUUAACUGCUUCAAGUAAACGGCACUAAAAAGUGAAGGCAGCCCCAUUCUUGUGAAAUCUCUGCUCUCAGGCCAUGAAUGAGCAAAUAUAAGCGGUGCGUAAGCAGAGUAAGUGACACGGGCAGGCUGCCAUUUCUUUCUAGAGGAAGCCAGACGUUUGUUCCUUACUCUCUGCACUGCUCCCCCGCCCUGUCCCCCGACAUGAUUCCCAUGACCAUUUGAAACAGCCUUUCUGUACGUGAUAUCCUGUUAGUUCUUAAGAAAAUCUGACUCUUUCUUGCCCUCCUGACCCAGGAAGCAAAGCCUUCCUCUUUCUUGAAGUAUUACUAUUUGACGUCACGCUAGAGGGCAAGAGAGCUGUCACACUAGAAGGCAAGGGGUCCCCUAUUUGUUCCUAUCUUUCAGGCUCACAAAGGAUGUGUUUACAACCCACUGUGCACGUGCACAGAGCUCCUCCAGCUGGGGCCCUGGACAGUGAUCAAUGGCGGUCACUUCCAGCCUUUCGAUUGCUGACUGUAAUCCGAGACGCAGAAUGACCGUCUUCCAGGCUCGCUUCCACCUGCAACGUAGCUGCCGACGCCCCAGACCAGGCUCUUCUGAGCUCCAUGAGCCUGUCUCCAUCUGCCAACCCAGCAGCCUCACCUGAGUGCCCCUCAGGCAUCUCAGGGAGCAUUUUAUCAUCACCAAGAUCACCUCGGCAAAGACAGACUCAGGGGCAGCCCUGACCAACGAGACCCAUAAGUCGGAUGGUGACCUGUUCCAAUUUCCACAUCGUGUGUGUUCCACCUUCUGCUUCCCUGUCUGGGGAGUUAGGAUAGUUUACAAUUUGAAACUUGCUUCACCUUGUUUCCACUUGACUUUUUCCUUUUAAUAGUAUUAUUAUCAUCAGUAAUAAUACUAAUAACAGUACCUAUAUUUGCCCAUACUCGUGACUUUUUCAGUACCUCUAGAUGUUGCAUAUUAUUUCAUUAUUAUUGUUUCAUGAUAACUUUAUAGGCAGUUGGUUUAUUUUGAGCAAAUUCAGUAUGCUAUUAAAGAGUAUCAAUACCCAUCUUUAGAUUGUAAUUUACUCGGUCUUCAUACAAAAGACAUUAGAUGCUGUCUUCAUACAUUAGCUCAAACUUUGGCUGAUGUCUGAUAUAAGAGAUUAGUUUUUCCCAGACAUAACUUUUUGCUUAACUAAAGGCUUUUUUCCUGAUUGGGAGAAAGGAGCAAAAAACUGACAUUUAUUGAAGCCUGAUAUAUAGCAGGCACCUUUUCAUAGCUGAUCUCACAGAGUUGUCCACUGGUCCUAAGAGACAGCUCUUAGUCCGUAUUAUAGACAGGAACGUGGGAAUAUUGCCCAAGGUCGCAGAGCUAAUAUGUGGCAGAUCCAGAAUUCAAAGUUCUGUCUGGCUCAAAACAUUCCCAAAACGAGCCUGAAUUUCUGAUGUUAAAUGCAAGACUCUUAGAAUCUCAAAGCCAUAAGUAAGUAUUCAGCAUUGAUAAGACUAAAUAAAUCAUAUGAAACCCAGUCAUAAAGACAGAGUCCAUAGGUCAGAAAUAAUCUUGUAAAAAAAAACCUGCACAGAAAAUUCAACUUGUAAACUUAAUUUCUUGGUAGGGACACUUGAUUUUCAAUUACAUCAC